rnacentral:rRNA from 1 species
AUCUGGUUCAGGAUGAACGCUAGCGACAGGCCUAACACAUGCAAGUCGAGGGGCAGCACAAGGAGCAAUCUGAGGUGGCGACCGGCGCACGGGUGAGUAACACGUAUGCAACCUGCCUGUAAGCGGGGAAUAACCCGUUGAAAGACGGACUAAUACCGCAUAAUACUAAAUUACUGCAUGGUAAUUUAUUUAAACAUUUAUGGCUUACAGAUGGGCAUGCGCAUGAUUAGCUAGUUGGAGAGGUAACGGCUCCCCAAGGCAACGAUCAUUAGGGGUUCUGAGAGGAAGGUCCCCCACACUGGUACUGAGACACGGACCAGACUCCUACGGGAGGCAGCAGUGAGGAAUAUUGGUCAAUGGGCGGGAGCCUGAACCAGCCAAGUCGCGUGAAAAGGAAGAAGGAUCUAUGGUUCGUAAACUUCUUUUGCAGGGGAAUAAAGUGCAGGACGUGUCCUGUUUUGUAUGUACCCUGAGAAUAAGGAUCGGCUAACUCCGUGCCAGCCGCUGC